ensembl:snRNA U4 U4 spliceosomal RNA
GUUAAAGUGAAUACUACAUCGUAGCCAAUGAGGUUUAUCUGAGGCGUGAUUAUUGCUAAUUGAAAACUUUUCCCAAUACCCCACCAUGACAACUUGAAAUAUAGUUGGCAUUGACAAUUUUUGACAGUCUCUACGGAGG